rnacentral:lncRNA from 1 species
AUAUGCCCAACAUAAAUAACAUUCAAGUAAGUUACCUUUUCCAAUAAUACACAAAAGAAAUACAAGCGUUCAACAAUUACAUUUGAGUUGCCUUUUUUCAAAUGCAAAACUAUAUACAUACACAUGUAGUUUUAUAUAUAUAUAUAUCUGUCAACAGAAUUCCACAAAUUAACCCCUAGAACUGACAGACAUCUUCAUUAACUGCUAAUCUUGUGGUAAUCUAAAAACUACAUCUUUAAAUCCAGAUUGUAUUUUCUCGAUGGCGCUUAAUCCAAUACAAACCUGGCCCUCGGAUGUCUUAUCUAGCUUAUCUGUGGUCAAUAAUAUCGAAGGCCUUUUUCAAGUCGAUGUACUGUAGAUGCUGAUUGUAUCUUUGAGCUCCAUCCUGGUUCUCUAUGAAGGCAAGCUUUGUGCUUCACUCCUUUGUCUUCACAUGUUUCCACAGAUGGGAGGAGGUGGCUGUCUGUGGAGGAGGGAUGUCGUGGUUCUGUUCAGAGCUUGGGCUCGUGGCUGCUACUGAAGAUCCCUUACACCAGCUGCCACGUGGAGCUCCUGACGGUAAACGGUAGCCGCUAUCACCAGCUUAAGGUGCGCUACUUGGACCACCUACUGCAGGCCAACGUGACUGCUGUAGCUGCCUGCCAGGAUCCUACAGGGUCCCUGUAUUCAGCAGCACCGCUGGUGAGGUGCAGAGCCACAGAUGUCAUGGUGAAACUGCCGUUAAAAAGCAGCCUGAAGAGGGUCAGAGCUCUGGGUAAAGGUGACGUUGUGGGGUCGGUGCUCACCACCUCCACUAAAGAUGCUGUAUUGGUGCAGAUCUCCACAGCAGAUAAGGAUUCCUUCUUGGAAGUUAUUUAUUUGGACUCUGCUGGUGAAUUAUUCUCCAUGCUGGCUGCCUGUUUGAAAGCAGGAGAGGACACUGAGAGGACGCGUCAGCGGAGAGAUUCACAAUUGCAUAUUAAAGAGGGGUGGGAGUACGAGGAGCAUCCUUGGCAUCAUUCUGACCUUCCGCAGGAGUAUGACCAACACACUGACACUGACAUGUACACUCCCUGUGAGAAUGGGGAAGAUGAAGUGGACUGUACUGAUGAGAC